GACGAACGCUGGCGGCGUGCUUAACACAUGCAAGUCGAACGGAAAGGCCCUGCUUGCAGGGUACUCGAGUGGCGAACGGGUGAGUAACACGUGGGUGAUCUGCCCUGCACUUCGGGAUAAGCCUGGGAAACUGGGUCUAAUACCGGAUAGGAGCCAUUUUUAGUGUGAUGGUUGGAAAGUUUUUUCGGUGUAGGAUGAGCUCGCGGCCUAUCAGCUUGUUGGUGGGGUAAUGGCCUACCAAGGCGGCGACGGGUAGCCGGCCUGAGAGGGUGGACGGCCACAUUGGGACUGAGAUACGGCCCAGACUCCGACGGGAGGCAGAAGUGGGGAAUAUUGCACAAUGGGCGCAAGCCUGAUGCAGCGACGCCGCGUGGGGGAUGAAGGCCUUCGGGUUGGAAACUCCUUUCGCUAGGGACGAAGCUUUUUGUGACGGUACCUAGAUAAGAAGCACCGGCUAACUACGUG
rnacentral:rRNA from 1 species